rnacentral:rRNA from 1 species
AUCAACUUUCGAUGGUAGGAUAGAGGCCUACCAUGGUGGUAACGGGUAACGGGGUGUUAGGGCACGACACCGGAGAGGGAGCCUGAGAAACGGCUACCACAUCCAAGGAUGGCAGCAGGCGCGCAAAUUACCCAAUCCCGACACGGGGAGGUAGUGACAAUAAAUAACAAUACGGGGUUCUUUCGGAUUUCGUAAUUGGAAUGAGUACAAUUUAAAUCUCUUAACGAGGAACAAUUGGAGGGCAAGUCUGGUGCCAGCAGCCGCGGUAAUUCCAGCUCCAAUAGCGUAUAUUAAAGUUGCUGCAGUUAAAAAGCUCGUAGUUGAAUUUCGGGACCAAUAUGUCGGUCGUGCCUCGGUACGUACUGGCAUCGUUGGUUUCUCCCUUCUGAAGAACCAUGAUGUCAUUUAUUUGGUGUCGUGGGGAACCAGGACUGUUACUUUGAAAAAAUUAGAGUGUUUAAAGCAGGCUCACGCUUGAAUACAUUAGCAUGGAAUAAUGAAAUAGGACGUUUGAUUCUAUUUUGUUGGUUUCUAGGAUCGACGUAAUGAUUAAUAGGGAUAGUUGGGGGCAUUAGUAUUCAAUUGUCAGAGGUGAAAUUCUUGGAUUUAUUGAAGACUAACUACUGCGAAAGCAUUUGCCAAGGAUGUUUUCAUUAAUCAAGAACGAAAGUUAGGGGAUCGAAGACGAUCAGAUACCGUCGUAGUCUUAACCAUAAACUAUGCCGACUAGGGAUCGGAUGAUGUUAAUUUUUUAAUGACUCAUUCGGCGCCUUACGGGAAACCAAAGUGUUUGGGUUC